rnacentral:rRNA from 1 species
AUUGAACGCUGGCGGCAUGCCUUACACAUGCAAGUCGAACGGCAGCGCGGGGGCAACCCUGGCGGCGAGUGGCGAACGGGUGAGUAAAAUAUCGGAACGUGCCCUAAAGUGGGGGAUAACGUAGCGAAAGUUACGCUAAUACCGCAUAAGAUCUAAGGAUGAAAGCGGGGGAUCGCAAGACCUCGUGCUUUAGGAGUGGCCGAUAACUGAUUAGCUAGUUGGUGGGGUAAAGGCUCACCAAGGCGACGAUCAGUAGCUGGUCUGAGAGGACGACCAGCCACACUGGGACUGAGACACGGCGCAGACUCCUACGGGAGGCAGCAGUGGGGAAUUUUGGACAAUGGGGGCAACCCUGAUCCAGCAAUGCCGCGUGUGUGAAGAAGGUCUUCGGGUUGUAAAGCACUUUUGUUCGGGACGAAACGGUUUGGGCUAAUACCCUGAGCUAAUGACGGUACCGAAAGAAUAAGCACCGGCUAACUACGUGCCAGCAGCCGCCGUAA